GUGCCAGCAGCCGCGGUAAAACGUAGGACACGAGCGUUAUCCGGAGUUACUGGGCGUAAAGGGCGUUUAGGCGGGUGAUUAAGUUCGCUAUGAAAGCGCCGGGCUAAACCCGGCGAGGCUGGCGGAUACUGGUCAUCUGGAGUGAGCGAGAGGGAGGUAGAAUUCCGCGUGUAGUGGUGAAAUGCGUAGAGAUGCGGAGGAAUACCAGUGGCGAAGGCGGCCUCCUGGCGCUUAACUGACGCUGAAGCGCGAAAGCAUGGGGAGCGAACGGGAUUAGAAACCCGCGUAGUCC
rnacentral:rRNA from 1 species